rnacentral:rRNA from 1 species
GACGAACGCUGGCGGCGUGCCUAAUACAUGCAAGUAGAACGCACAGUUUAUACCGUAGCUUGCUACACCAUAGACUGUGAGUUGCGAACGGGUGAGUAACGCGUAGGUAACCUGCCUGGUAGCGGGGGAUAACUAUUGGAAACGAUAGCUAAUACCGCAUAAUAUUAAUUAUUGCAUGAUAAUUGAUUGAAAGGUGCAAAUGCAUCACUACCAGAUGGACCUGCGUUGUAUUAGCUAGUAGGUGAGGUAACGGCUCACCUAGGCGACGAUACAUAGCCGACCUGAGAGGGUGAUCGGCCACACUGGGACUGAGACACGGCCCAGACUCCUACGGGAGGCAGCAGUAGGGAAUCUUCGGCAAUGGACGAAAGUCUGACCGAGCAACGCCGCGUGAGUGAAGAAGGUUUUCGGAUCGUAAAGCUCUGUUGUAAGAGAAGAACGGGUGUGAGAGUGGAAAGUUCACACUGUGACGGUAUCUUACCAGAAAGGGACGGCUAACUACGUGCCAGCAGCCGCGGUAAUACGUAGGUCCCGAGCGUUGUCCGGAUUUAUUGGGCGUAAAGCGAGCGCAGGCGGUUAGAUAAGUCUGAAGUUAAAAGGCUGUGGCUUAACCAUAGUACGCUUUGGAAACUGUUUAACUUGAGUGCAGAAGGGGGAGAGUGGAAUUCCUGUGUAGCGGUGAAAGCCUUAUAUAUGGAGGGAACACCGGUGGUCAAAACCCG